rnacentral:rRNA from 1 species
GGCGGCAGGCCUAACACACGCAAGUCGAGCGGUAGAGAGAAGCUUGCUUCUCUUGAGAGUGGCGGACGGGUGAGUAAUGCCUAGGAAUCUGCCUGGUAGUGGGGGAUAACGUUCGGAAACGGACGCUAAUACCGCAUACGUCCUACGGGAGAAAGCAGGGGACCUUCGGGCCUUGCGCUAUCAGAUGAGCCUAGGUCGGAUUAGCUAGUUGGUGAGGUAAUGGCUCACCAAGGCGACGAUCCGUAACUGGUCUGAGAGGAUGAUCAGUCACACUGGAACUGAGACACGGUCCAGACUCCUACGGGAGGCAGCAGUGGGGAAUAUUGGACAAUGGGCGAAAGCCUGAUCCAGCCAUGCCGCGUGUGUGAAGAAGGUCUUCGGAUUGUAAAGCACUUUAAGUUGGGAGGAAGGGUUGUAGAUUAAUACUCUGCAAUUUUGACGUUACCGACAGAAUAAGCACCGGCUAACUCUGUGCCAGCAGCCGCGGUAAUACAGAGGGUGCAAGCGUUAAUCGGAAUUACUGGGCGUAAAGCGCGCGUAGGUGGUUUGUUAAGUUGGAUGUGAAAUCCCCGGGCUCAACCUGGGAACUGCAUUCAAAACUGACUGACUAGAGUAUGGUAGAGGGUGGUGGAAUUUCCUGUGUAGCGGUGAAAUGCGUAGAUAUAGGAAGGAACACCAGUGGCGAAGGCGACCACCUGGACUAAUACUGACACUGAGGUGCGAAAGCGUGGGGAGCAAACAGGAUUAGAUACCCUGGUAGUCC